rnacentral:rRNA from 1 species
CCUACGGGUGGCAGCAGUGAGGAAUAUUGGUCAAUGGACGAGAGUCUGAACCAGCCAAGUCGCGUGAAGGAUGACUGCCCUAUGGGUUGUAAACUUCUUCUAUAUGGGAAUAAAUUGCUCUACCUGUGGGAUUUUGUAUGUACCAUUUGAUUAAGGAUCGGCUAACUCCGCGCCAGUAGCCGCGGUAAUACGGAGGAUCCGAGCGUUAUCCGGAUUUAUUGGGUGUAAAGGGAGCGUAGGUGGAUUGUUAAGUUAGUUGUGAAAGUUUGCGGCUCAACCGGAAAAUUGCAGUUGAAACUGGCAGUCUUGAGUACAGUAGAGGUGAGCGGAAUUCGUGGUGUAGCGGUGAAAUGCUUAGAUAUCACGAAGAACUCCGAUUGCGAAGGCAGUUCACUGGACUGCAACUGACACUGAGGCUCGAAAGUGUGGGUAUCAAACAGGAUUAGAUACCCCUGUAGUC